CUACGGGGGGCUCCAGUGAGGAAUAUUGCACAAUGGGGGGAACCCUGAUGCAGCAACGCCGCGUGGAGGAUGACGCAUUUCGGUGUGUAAACUCCUUUUAUAUGUCAAGAAAAUGACGGUAGCAUAUGAAUAAGCACCGGCUAACUCCGUGCCAGCAGCCGCGGUAAUACGGAGGGUGCAAGCGUUACUCGGAAUCACUGGGCGUAAAGGACGCGUAGGCGGGUUGGAAAGUCAGGUGUGAAAUCCUACGGCUUAACGGUAGAACUGCACUUGAAACUUCUAAUCUAGAGUAUGGGAGGGGGAGAUGGAAUUAGUGGUAUAGGGGUAAAAUCCGUAGAUAUCACUAGGAAUACCUAAAGCGAAGGCGAUCUCCUGGAACAUUACUGACGCUAAGGCGUGAAAGCGUGGGGAGCAAACAGGAUUAGAUACCCUUGUAGUC
rnacentral:rRNA from 1 species